GCUCUCCUACGGGAGGCAGCAGUGGGGAAUAUUGCACAAUGGGGGGAACCCUGAUGCAGCGACGCCGCGUGAGUGAAGAAGUAUUUCGGUACGUAAAGCUCUCUCAGCAGGGAAGAAAAAAGGACGGUACCUGAGUAAGAAGCCCCGGCUAACUACGUGCCAGCAGCCGCGGUAAUACGUAGGGGGCAAGCGUUAUCCGGAUUUACUGGGUGUAAAGGGAGCGUAGACGGCAUAGCAAGUCUGAAGUGAAAGCCCGUGGCUCAACCGCGGAACUGCUUUGGAAACUGUUAAGCUGGAGUACUGGG
rnacentral:rRNA from 1 species